rnacentral:rRNA from 1 species
CAUAAUAACUUCUCGAAUCGGCAUGGCUUGUGCGGCGAUGCUUCAUUCAAAUAUCUGCCCUAUCACUUUCGAUGGUAGGAUAGAGGCUACAUGGUUUCAACGGGUAACGGGGAAUAAGGGUUCGAUUCCGGAGAGGGAGCCUGAGAAACGGCUACCACAUCCAAGGAAGGCAGCAGGCGCGCAAAUUACCCAAUCCCGACACGGGGAGGUAGUGACAAUAAAUAACAAUAUAGGGCUCAUUUGGGUCUUAUAAUUGGAAUGAGUACAAUUUAAAUCCCUUAACGAGGAACAAUUGGAGGGCAAGUCUGGUGCCAGCAGCCGCGGUAAUUCCAGCUCCAAUAGCGUAUAUUAAAGUUGUUGCAGUUAAAAAGCUCGU